rnacentral:rRNA from 1 species
UACGUAGGGUGCAAGCGUUGUCCGGAAUUAUUGGGCGUAAAGAGCUCGUAGGCGGUUUGUCGCGUCUGCUGUGAAAUCCCGAGGCUCAACCUCGGGCCUGCAGUGGGUACGGGCAAACUAGAGUGCGGUAGGGGAGAUUGGAAUUCCUGGUGUAGCGGUGGAAUGCGCAGAUAUCAGGAGGAACACCGAUGGCGAAGGCAGAUCUCUGGGCCGUAACUGACACUGAGGCGCGAAAGCGUGGGGAGCGAACAGG